AUCCAGCUAACGAGUCCCAAAUAGGACGAAACGCGCGUUCUGGAU
rfam:Schistosoma haematobium scaffold770_27, whole genome shotgun sequence.